AUUGAACGCUGGCGGCAGGCCUAACACAUGCAAGUCGAGCGGUAGAGAGAAGCUUGCUUCUCUUGCGAGCGGCGGACGGGUGAGUAAUGCCUAGGAAUCUGCCUGGUAGUGGGGGAUAACGUUCGGAAACGGACGCUAAUACCGCAUACGUCCUACGGGAGAAAGCAGGGGACCUUCGGGCCUUGCGCUAUCAGAUGAGCCUAGGUCGGAUUAGCUAGUUGGUGAGGUAAUGGCUCACCAAGGCGACGAUCCGUAACUGGUCUGAGAGGAUGAUCAGUCACACUGGAACUGAGACACGGUCCAGACUCCUACGGGAGGCAGCAGUGGGGAAUAUUGGACAAUGGGCGAAAGCCUGAUCCAGCCAUGCCGCGUGUGUGAAGAAGGUCUUCGGAUUGUAAAGCACUUUAAGUUGGGAGGAAGGGUUGUAGAUUAAUACUCUGCAAUUUUGACGUUACCGACAGAAUAAGCACCGGCUAACUCUGUGCCAGCAGCCGCGGUAAUACAGAGGGUGCAAGCGUUAAUCGGAAUUACUGGGCGUAAAGCGCGCGUAUGUGGUUUGUUAAUUUGGAUGUGAAAUCCCCCGGGCUCAACCUGGGGAGCUGCGUUCAAAACUGACUGACUAAAGUAUGGUAGAGGGUGGGGGGAAUUUCUCUGCGUACCGUGCAAACCCGCCCGCAAAAGGAAAAAAAACCCUCCGGCUCCCAAAACGACCCAGGCGUUUUCUCCUCCUCUCAUGCAGGAAUAUAGGGCCGACCAGAUCUAUAAUAUAUGAUAGUAGGGGCAAUCUUGCGAGGGUGGGUUGGGAGGCGGGCAGGGGGCAACACCCAAGUGGGGAGGUGUGUCCCGGCUGGUCCCCUCCCCCGCCGUCAGUGAACCCUGCGUCCCCC
rnacentral:rRNA from 1 species